UUGUCUAUGUUAAUAUAAAAAGAGAAGAGAACCCUCGUGACACUUGAGUUUCCUCGUGGCUGCUUCUUAUGUUUUAAUUUUUGGUAAACUUUAAAUAUCACUCUGUGAUUUCGUAUUUUCUCACUUUAGUACUCAGUGGUUUAAAAUGUAUCAAGGUAGUAUCCUGUGGUUUUAUUUUUAUCUUUCGUCAGCUUUUUCGUUAAUAUUUCGUUAAAUUAUAUACAAAAAACUUCAGAUACCCCACCUAGGUUUAUCGAAUAUUCACUUUAGUGCCCUUUAGUUUAACUUUGUCACUGAUUUAACGAAAAAAAUUAGUGGAAUUGAUAAUAAAAAGAUAAAAAUAAAAUCAUAGAAUAAUAAAUUGAUAUACUUUAAAUCACAGAGUACUAAAGUGAAAAAGUGUGAAACCACAGGAGUGAUAUUUGGAGUUUUUUCUUUAAUUUUUAAAGGUUUAUGUGAUGUUUCGUCUUCAUAUGAAGCUUCUAGAAUAAAUAGACUGAAAAUAUGCCUCUUCAGUUGCCCCCUUUCAUAUUGAUUGAGAGAAUGUUUUCUAAGUUUUUGACAUAAAGUGAAAUAGCAUGAAAAGCAAGAAGCAAAAUCUACAUUAAAGAUAGACCCUUGAAAGCUUCUGUCUACUUGCUUUCCACUAUUUUUUUUUGGGCAAUUAUUUAUAUACCCAUAAAAAGUUUUCGAUUUUUCGAUUUAUAAGAGAAGAUUAAUAUUGAAAAUACUCUUUGUACGUUCCAACAUAUUUCUAAUAUGCCUCUAGAGUUAAAAUCUGUUAAUUAACUCUAUUAUUUCUGUAAAAUUACUAUUUUGCCCUUUCAAAUAUACCCUUCCACCAUCAUUGACUUUUCUAUUUGCCAUUCAAGUAAGGGGCACAAAAAGUAUUUUAACUUUUGAUCUUUUCCAAUAUACCUCUUUACCGUCACCAAUAUUUCUUAUUUGCCUUUAAGUUAAGGACAAAAUUGGCAUUUUAAUUUAUUUUAACUGUUGUAGAUACUUAGGGCGUGUUUGGUUCGAAGUUGGACUUGAAAUCGGAAUCGGAAUCGGAAUCAAAAUAAGCUGGAAUCGGAAUCGGAAUGACUCAUUACCUAAUUCUUUUUGGUUCAUCACCUGAAUUGGAAUCGGAAUAAAUCAUUCUCAUUAUUGGUGUUUGGUUCAGUUCGAUAUAAAAAACGUAAUCAAAUUAAUAUAUUAACAUUAUCUUUAUAAUAUAUUAAUUUAAAUUCAAGUUAAAAAUUAAAUAUUAAAAAUUUAUAUCAAAAUUUUGAAAUAAUGCCAAAAUUUUAAAUCUAUUUUUUUUAAAAAAAAAUAAACUUUGAAGUUGAGUGGAUAAUUCAAAUUAUGAAACUAAAUUUUGAUUUAUUCAAAUUCAAACUAAAAUUACAAUUUAAAUUUUAAUUUAAUCCAUAAAUUUAAUUUAAGUUUGAAAUAAAAUUUGAAUAAAACUUUAUAUAAAUUAAAAUUUAAUUUAAAUUCAAAUUCAUAAGUUAGAUUCAAAAUACUUGAUUAAAUUUUAAUUUUUAAUUUAAGUUCAAAUUAAAAUUUAAAAUUAUAUAUUUAAUUUUUAAAUUUUAACUCAUAUUUUAAUUUAAAAAGUUGAAAAAAUAAAUUUAAUCAGAAUAAAUAUCUAUUCCGUCCGGAAUCAACUUUCAAUCCGGCCUCCUAGGCCGGAUUGAAAAAUGAGGUGAUUGGGGGAUUCCCAUUCCACUCGGGAAUCGGAAUCGGAAUGGGACUCCCGCGUACCAAACACUUACAAACGGAUUCACCUAUUCCGAUUCCGAUUCUAGGGUGAAAAAGAAGCGAACCAAACACGCUCUUAAUUCACGUUUAACCCAAUUUAACUUAAGAGGAGAUAACUGCGGGGAUAUUUUGCAAUAAUGGUGGAACAUAUGAGGGUAUUUUAGAAAGAAGAAAAAAAAGGAAUAAAUCGGAUAUUUUCAAACGUACGAGGGGUAUAUAGGCAAUUAUCCCUUUUUUUUUUCUUGUCAAAGUAAAUUAAAUAUAUGCUCUACUGCUUUCGAUUGAUACUUUUUAACAGAGUUGAUAGUUUAUAUCUAAAAUUAUAAAUUUAUUAUUUGAAAUGUAAAGUUCAAGAAAAUAAAAAUUGUUUACCGCCUGUCUUUGAAAAAGGAAAUUAUACAAUGUAGAAUUUUUUUUUAAACAAUAAUAUAUUAUAAAAUAAUAUAACUAAGUAAAAUUAAAAAGGUAAAAAUGUAUGAAAUUUAUCUCAACUAUGGACCAUUUGGAUUUGGCCACGCAAUCUUUCAAAAUUUUGAAUUUGCUAUAUAAUCUUUCAAUUUGUUCAAUUCGAAUUAGUCAAUAGCACUUUAACUUAAGAAUUUGAAUACAUUGUUUAUCUUUACAGAUUUUAAUUAAUGCAUUCUUAUGUAAUUCUCACAACUAUAAGUUCAUUAAAGCAAGCAAUUAGCUUAAUUUUUGGAGUUAAAGCAUUGUUGACUGACUUAAAUCGAACAAAUAAAAAAUUAGGUACUAUAAUUAAAAUAUUGAAAGAUUAGAUAGUUAAUCUAACUGUUCUAUAGUUCAGAUAAGUUCUAUAAAUUUUUACCAAUAUAAAAGAAAGGGAAAGGA
rnacentral:lncRNA from 1 species